rnacentral:rRNA from 1 species
ACGGAAGGCAGCAGUGGGGAAUAUUGGGCAAUGGGCGAAAGCCUGACCCAGCAACGCCGCGUGAAGGAAGAGGGUCUUCGGAUUGUAAACUUCUUUUAUGAGGGACGAAACAAAUGACGGUACCUCAUGAAUAAGCCACGGCUAACUACGUGCCAGCAGCCGCGGUAAUACGUAGGUGGCAAGCGUUAUCCGGAUUUACUGGGUGUAAAGGGCGCGUAGGCGGGAAUGCAAGUCAGAUGUGAAAUCUCUGGGCUCAACCCAGAAACUGCAUUUGAAACUGUAUUUCUUGAGUGCUGGAGAGGUAGAUGGAAUUCCUAGUGUAGCGGUGAAAUGCGUAGAUAUUAGGAAGAACACCAGUGGCGAAGGCGAUCUACUGGACAGUAACUGACGCUGAGGCGCGAAAGCGUGGGGAGCAAACAGGAUUAGAUACCCUGGUA